UACGAAGGGGGCUAGCGUUGUUCGGAAUUACUGGGCGUAAAGGGCGCGUAGCGGUUCGCUAAGUUGAAUGUGAAAACUCUGGGCUUAACCCAGAGCCUGCAUUCAAUACUGGCGGGCUAGAGUUCUGGAGGGGAUAGCGGAAUUCCUGGUGUAGCGGUGAAAUGCGUAGAUAUCAGGAGGAACACCGGUGGCGAAGGCGGCUAUCUGGACAGAGUCUGACGCUGAGGUGCGAAAGCGUGGGGAGCAAACAGG
rnacentral:rRNA from 1 species